GACGAACGCUGGCGGCGUGCUUAACACAUGCAAGUCGAACGGAGCGAAUGAAAGCUUGCUUUUAUAAGCUUAGUGGCAAACGGGUGAGUAACACGUAGGCAACCUGCCGACAGGAUGGGGACAACAUUCCGAAAGGAAUGCUAAUACCGAAUGAAGUCAGAGAAGGGCAUCCUUUUCUGAUGAAAGAUGGCCUCUAUAUAUAAGCUAUCACCUGUCGAUGGGCCUGCGUCUGAUUAGCUGGUAGGUGAGGUAACGGCUCACCUAGGCGACGAUCAGUAGCCGGUCUGAGAGGAUGAACGGCCACAUUGGGACUGAGACACGGCCCAGACUCCUACGGGAGGCAGCAGUGGGGAAUCUUCCGCAAUGGGCGCAAGCCUGACGGAGCAACGCCGCGUGAGUGAAGAAGGUCUUCGGAUCGUAAAGCUCUGUUGAUGGGGACGAACGUGCCUAAUGCGAAUAGUAUUAGG
rnacentral:rRNA from 1 species